UACAGAGGUGGCAAGCGUUGUUCGGAAUUACUGGGCGUAAAGGGCGCGUAGGCGGUUCGUUAAGUCCUGUGUGAAAUCCCCCGGCUCAACUGGGGAACUGCACAGGAAACUAGCGGGCUUGAGUUCGGGAGAGGGAAGCGGAAUUCCGGGUGUAGCGGUGAAAUGCGUAGAUAUCAGGAGGAACACCUGUGGUGUAGACAGCUUACUGGACCAUUUCUGACGCUGGGACACGAAAGCGUGGGUAGCAAACAGG
rnacentral:rRNA from 1 species